rnacentral:tmRNA from 1 species
GCGCGCCGGGUAAAUUGAAAGGCGUCAUCCGCUGCUGUAUCAUUAAAACAUAGUUGUAAUUCCGGCAAUCUCGAGGCGUUCUGGACAGGGGUUCAACUCCCCUCAUCUCCACCUAAGCGUAGCGGAAUACGUUUAGGUGGGGAUGUACCGGUUUCGACAGGGCGGGCAAAGGUGCGCAGGCAACUCGUCAGGCGAUCGACGUUAAUGAAGCAAAUCCAUAAAUGCCAAUGAUGAGCAUUUUGCUAUUGCCGCCUAACAACGGCUAGCCGGGGCUGCUAGAGCCUUGUUACCAAAGAUAGCCGGUGGGGACUUCGGUCCCCAUCGUCA